rnacentral:lncRNA from 1 species
CCUCUUCAAAAACACGUAGGCAUCCGUGAGCACAACACCGUAACCGAGACCUACACGCAUCUAAAGAAACCGUUCGAAAGAGAUGAGCUGAGCUGAGCUUUGUGUCGAGGCGUCCGACGACGGCCUGCAUCGGGCGCAGCCCUAUGACCGUCCUUUGCAUUUGAGAGAAGUUUCAUAAGAGACCCCUGUCCUGGCGUUAACCCCCUCACCCCCCCCCCCCCCCCCCCCUCACCCCCUCCAGAGCUGCGAGAUGGGCCUGACCCAGAGCGUGGGCGAGGACGGCCUGCGGUUCGAGGUGUGGGUCCGCCAGGCGCCGCGGGGCCGCGACGUGCUGACGCUGCAGACCCCCACGCCGGCGCUGCGGGAGGCCUGGGCGCAGGACGUGGCCCGGCUGCUCUGGACGCACGCCAUCAACAACACGGAGCUGUGUCUGAAGGAGUCCCUCUGCAUGGGCAUGUCCAGCAAACUGCUGCUGGACGUCACCGGCCCCCACUGCCCCGAGACCGACUCCAUCAGCACCCUGACUGACAGAGUCCACAGUAGUUGUUCUGACUCGUCCUCGGUGGGGAGCCAGAAGGAGGGGGGGUCUCCCGCCUCUGGGAGGGAGCCCAGAAGGAGCUCUGGGUCCUCCUGCUACACACUGGUACACACACACACACACACACACACACACACACACACACACACACACACACACACACACACACACACGUUCACUAGUACGCAUACAAACACCCACACAUGCACUCAGUGGUACACACACAUACAUGCAUGCCCACACAAACACACACAUACCGACUGGUACACACGCACACACACAUAG